rnacentral:rRNA from 1 species
GACGAACGCUGGCGGCGUGCCUAAUACAUGCAAGUAGAACGCACAGUUUAUACCGUAGCUUGCUACACCAUAGACUGUGAGUUGCGAACGGGUGGGUAACGCGUAGGUAACCUGCCUGGUAGCGGGGGAUAACUAUUGGAAACGAUAGCUAAUACCGCAUAAUAUUAAUUAUUGCAUGCUAAUUAAUUGAAAGGUGCAAUUUCACCACUACCAGAUGGACCUGCGUUGUAUUAGCUAGUAGGUGAGGUAACGGCUCACCUAGGCGACGAUACAUAGCCGACCUGAGAGGGUGGUCGGCCAAACUGGGACUGAGACACGGCCCAGACUCCUACGGGAAGCAGCAGUAGGGAAUCUUCGGAAAUGGACGAAAGUCUGACCGAGCAACGCCGCGUGAGUGAAGAAGGUUUUCGGAUCGUAAAGCUCUGUUGUAAGAGAAGAACGGGUGUGAGAGUGGAAAGUGCACACUGUGACGGUAUCUUACCAGAAAGGGACGGCUAACUACGUG